rnacentral:rRNA from 1 species
CCUACGGGAGGCAGCAGUAAGGGAUAUUGGUCAAUGGGGGAAACCCUGAACCAGCAACGCCGCGUGAGGGAAGACGGUUUUCGGAUUGUAAACCUCUGUCCUCUGUGAAGAUGAUGACGGUAGCAGAGGAGGAAGCUCCGGCUAACUACGUGCCAGCAGCCGCGGUAAUACGUAGGGAGCGAGCGUUGUCCGGAUUUACUGGGUGUAAAGGGUGCGUAGGCGGCUUGGCAAGUCAGUAGUGAAAUCCAUGGGCUUAACCCAUGAACUGCUAUUGAAACUGUCGAGCUUGAGGGAAGUAGAGGUAGGGGGAACUCCGGGGGGAGCGGUGAAAGGGGUAGAGAUGGGGAGGACAACCAGGGCGGAGGGGGCCCUAUUGGGUUUUAACGG